rnacentral:rRNA from 1 species
CAAUAGCGUAUAUUAAAGUUGUUGCAGUUAAAAGCUCGUAGUUGGAUUUCGGAGUGGGCCAGUUGGUCCGCCGCAAGGUGUGUUACUGACUGGUUUGCUCUUCUUCGCAAAGACUGCGUGUGCCCUUAAAUGAGUGUGCGUAGGAUUUACGACGUUUACUUUGAAAAAUUAGAGUGUUCAAAGCAGGCGCUUCGCCUGAAUAAUGUUGCAUGGAAUAAUGGAAUAGGACCUCGGUUCUAUUUUGUUGGUUUUCGGAACUUGAGGUAAUGAUUAAGAGGGACAGACGGGGGCGAUUCGUAUGAUGGUGUUAGAGGUGAAAUUCUUGGAUCGCCGUCAGACGAACUACUGCGAAAGCAUUUGCCAAGAAUGUUUUCAUUAAUCAAGAACGAAAGUCAGAGGUUCGAAGACGAUCAGAU